rnacentral:rRNA from 1 species
CCUACGGGGUGCAGCAGUCGAGAAUUAUUCACAAUGGGGGAAACCCUGAUGGUGCGACGCCGCGUGGGGGAAUGAAGGUCUUCGGAUUGUAAACCCCUGUCAUGUGGGAGCAAAUUAAAAAGAUAGUACCACAAGAGGAAGAGACGGCUAACUCUGUGCCAGCAGCCGCGGUAAUACAGAGGUCGCAAGCGUUGUUCGGAAUCACUGGGCGUAAAGCGUGCGUAGGCUGUUUCGUAAGUCGUGUGUGAAAGGCGCGGGCUCAACCCGCGGACGGCACAUGAUACUGCGAGACUAGAGUGAUGGAGGGGGAACCGGAAUUCUCGGUGUAGCAGUGAAAUGCGUAGAUAUCGAGAGGAACACUCGUGGCGAAGGCGGGUUCCUGGACAUUAACUGACGCUGAGGCACGAAGGCCAGGGGAGCGAAAGGGAUUAGAUACCCUAGUAGUC